AACGCUGCAACAAUGCCUAUUUAAAAUGGCUGAUGAAGGUGCAGCCACAAAGCAUGCUGCUUAAGUGUCAGUGCAAAGCUGGGAAGAAGGAUUCUUUAGGGUGUUCGAUGCCAUAUUUCUGCACUUCUGAGGAGAUCUGAGGAGACAAAAGCAGCAACCCACAUGGUCGGUCCCUGUGGCCCAGCUAGUUUCCAGGGUUCUUGCUCAGAAGCUCCCCUUGAGAUGGUAC